AUUUCAUACCAUUCUCAUCGUUAUUCUAUUUUAUUACCAUCAAAAUUCGUUAUCGCGUACCCCUGAUCACCUAGAGUAUGAUGCAUGUUGGAUUAAGUUUUUGGAAAUUUUGCUAUUAGUCAUACAAAUGGGACUAAUGUGACUAUACAUGGUUUCGUUUUAUAAUUACUAUGCAAAUGUUUAGCAAUAGACUUUACUCUCUGGUCUCUGCCAAAACAAUUCCUUCCCCAAAACCCUAAUGUUUGUCCAGGAUUCAAUGCUGAAUGAAUCUGCAAAAAUCCAGAUGGAAAUCGAAACUUAAGUACUUAUUAGGUGGCAUCAUAAGUUCGAUUUACAGAAUUCCCUGCAAUUUUGAUUCAAUCCAGUUCAGUUAAAUUCUGAGGUUUGCGAGCAGGAGUCGGUGCAACUGCAAUUCGAUGAUAACUCGAUCGAAACUCGUGGAGCAACUCAGAGAUUACCAGGUCCGAUCCCAGCACAAGUGUCCCCCUCUCGCCGUCUUCUCUCCAAAACCCAUUCUUUCAACCUGGAGUGAUGUUGCACUUGCUGUUUUUUGGGCCUUUAUAUUUAUUACCUUCUUACUUUCAUCAUAUGUUUUCCUUUACCUAAAACAUUACUGGAUUUCCUCCAUUAUACUAUGCCUUGGCAUCCUUCUUCCUAUACGGUUGAGAAUUCUGCGGCAGUCACUUGCUAGAAAGAGGGACAGAAGGCUGUUGCUACCUCUAUCCAUGUGAGUAUCUUCAAAUAUGCUUGAAGCGUUUGAAAAUACUCGCCCGCAGUCAAAAGGGGUUUUCAGUUGCAUCCUAGGAAGCUCGAGGCUGCAACAUCAUUGGUAUACACUUACCUACCUGUUGUAAGAAGUAUUGGAUGCCUCUAUUCUCUGACCCACACACUGAAGCAUCGAGAAUUUGAAGGAGUAAUGGAACCCUGAGGGAAGGACUCUAAAUAACUCUACCAAAUGUUGGAUUCUUGACUUCAAAUUUUGCAGCAUUUUUAAAUUGUAAAUGUCUUUGAGGCGUGACUUUGGCCAUCGAUUUGAGUUAAUAGAUGUUACUUAAAAAAAUCGCCACUGUUAAUGGAUGAGGUCUGGCAAUUUAUUUAUUUGAAGAAAUGACUUGAAACUGCACCAAA